rnacentral:rRNA from 1 species
CCCUUAGAUGUUCUGGGCUGCACGCGCGCUACACUGAAGCGUUCAACGAGUAUUCACCUUGCCCGGGAGGGUUGGGUAAUCUUUUCAAAACGCUUCGUGAUGGGGAUAGAUUAUUGCAAUUAUUAAUCUUCAACGAGGAAUUCCUAGUAAGCGCGAGUCAUCAGCUCGUGCUGAUUACGUCCCUGCCCUUUGUACACACCGCCCGUCGCUCCUACCGAUUGAACGUUCCGAUGAAUACCAUGGAUUGAGAGUCUGAAUGGGUUCGCCUAUUUCUGCUUCUCGAGAAGUGGAGUAAAUCUUAGCGUUUAGAGGAAGGAGAAGUCGUAACA